CCUACGGGAGGCAGCAGUGAGGAAUAUUGGUCAAUGGACGAGAGUCUGAACCAGCCAAGUAGCGUGAAGGAUGACUGCCCUAUGGGUUGUAAACUUCUUUUAUAUGGGAAUAAAAUGUUCCACGUGUGGGCUUUUGUAUGUACCAUAUGAAUAAGGAUCGGCUAACUCCGUGCCAGCAGCCGCGGUAAUACGGAGGAUCCGAUCGUUAUCCGGAUUUAUUGGGUUUAAAGGGAGCGUAGGUGGAUUGUUAAGUCAGUUGUGAAAGUUUGCGGCUCAACCGUAAAAUUGCAGUUGAAACUGGCAGUCUUGAGUACAGUAGAGGUGGGCGGAAUUCGUGGUGUAGCGGUGAAAUGCUUAGAGAUCACGAAGAACUCCGAUUGCGAAGGCAGCUCACUGGACUGCAACUGACACUGAGGCUCGAAAGUGUGGGUAUCAAACAGGAUUAGAUACCCUGGUAGUC
rnacentral:rRNA from 1 species